AAGAAAAAAGAGAGCGGAGGAGACGCUGCCAGCCAACGGUAGCAGAAGCAAGAUGUAAAGUACCGGAGAAAAUAUGGUAGAACUAUGGAAUGCUGAUUUCUGUGAGAGCUACUUUGAAAGCAGUCAUUUGAAAGCAGACCAAGUUCUCUGCCUAUGCUGAGCAACAGACAGUAUGGCCGAGCGGAGUGUGUGAGAAACCUUGUCUAUCUGAACCAGUCACUGAAUUGUGUACAGAGCUGCCUGUGGCAUCCAGACAUGAAGUAUCAGAUCUUCAUACCUCUCAGUCCUGAAAAGAGGAAUCACACAAUCUUGAUUUUUGCCUAUGAAACGUCAACAGAUUCCUGACAGAUGUACUCAGGGAAAGAAUACUACUAAACCCAGGAACUUUCUUGAGAAGGAGCCAUCAAGGACAAAACUACUUGGAAUCAGGAAACAUGGAAUAUUGCCAAUUCAAGUUCCUUGGACACUCUGUCAUGCUGGCAAGGUAGAUCUGUUGUAACAGCCUUAGGAAACUAAUCUAUGAAGUGGCCAUUAAUUUUCUCUUCAUGGGUAAGAUUUUUUUUCUAUUUUAUGCAUAGACUAGAUGGUUACAGUUGGAAUCCUCUCGUAUCUUAGCUAAGUAUCAGGUGCUAGAUUUAGAUUCUUCAGGAUUAGAAAGCUAUUGGAAUAAUCUCUGUAUUUUGCCAUUUACCUGUAUUCUGUACAUCUAGUAUAUGGUUCUUGAUUGAUGUUGUUCUUGUUGGUUGUAAUUCCAUUUUUCUUUAUGUUAUUACCCUUUUUCUUUCCUGGACAUUACUU